AUUGAACGCUGGCGGCAUGCCUUACACAUGCAAGUCGAACGGCAGCACGGGUGCUUGCACCUGGUGGCGAGUGGCGAACGGGUGAGUAAUACAUCGGAACAUGUCCUGUAGUGGGGGAUAGCCCGGCGAAAGCCGGAUUAAUACCGCAUACGAUCUACGGAUGAAAGCGGGGGACCUUGGGGCCUCGCGCUAUAGGGUUGGCCGAUGGCUGAUUAGCUAGUUGGUGGGGUAAAGGCCUACCAAGGCGACGAUCAGUAGCUGGUCUGAGAGGACGACCAGCCACACUGGGACUGAGACACGGACCAGGCUCCUACGGGAGGCAGCAGUGGGGAAUUUUGGACAAUGGUCGAAAGCCUGAUCCAACGAUGCCACGUGUGUGAAGAAGGCCUUCGGGUUGUAAAGCACUUUUGUCCGGAAAGAAAUCCUUGGCCCUAAUACGGUCGGGGGAUGACGGUACCGGAAGAAUAAGCACCGGCUAACUACGUG
rnacentral:rRNA from 1 species